AGGCGGCGGCAUCGGCCUCGGGGGCACCGCCAGCUGAGACCCCGCCUCGUCAACGCGUCGGCGGCGGCGGCGGCGCGAGGAUCGUUUGACGGCUGCUGCAUGGAACAGAAGAAGCAUCGGUCCAUAUUCCAAAAUCCCUCUUGUCUCCCAGGCGGCGCUCGUGGUUGCCGCCGCCGUCCUAGCCCGAGCGCUGUCUCCAGCCGCGGUCGCCGCCGCCGCCGGCCACCGUCGCGGCGCCGCCCUUCUCUCCCGCCUCGCCCCGGCGGCCUCCUCCCCAGCUACCUCUCCCUCUUUUCUCUGUGUUGGCGCAGGGAAGGAGGAGCCAAGGAGGAAGAAGAUAUCCCUGACAAGUGGGCCCCAUCUGAGGAAGAGAGAGAAAAGGGAAAAGAUAGAUAAUGUGGCAGGCUUACAUGUGGGGUCCACAUGGGUCCUACGCUGACUCAGCCGCUAGGUAGACCAAAACCGGUGUCAAAACCACCUAAGAACCUCGGGUGACCGGUUUUAUACAGUUGAGGGACCCCGCAUAUCUGGUUUUGCGGUGCAAGGACGAUUUUGUAUCCCGAUUUUGCCUAGUGUGAGUAUGAGAUGGUGUUGGAUUUGGCCCAUGGGCUUUUACCGUCUCUCUCUUCAAUCUUCCAGACUAGCUAGCUGCUCUUUUAUUUUUUUUUAAAAAAGUUGUUUCUAUUAGAGGCGAACAUCCUACUUUAAUUCUGUACGAGCAUCCAUUAGAGACACAUUCGCAUUGGAACGAAGAAAUCCUUUAGGAGUGUCCAUACGUGUAUUUGUUGUUAUUUUUAUAUCUCAUAGACAAAGUGAGUUUGGACAAGACUUUCUAUGUGGUUAUGUAACAUCAUCUCAUCUAUAUAUGGGAUUUUUUUUUCUGAA